rnacentral:lncRNA from 1 species
UUCCCUGCUUCUUCCUCGGCUCCUUCUUGUGUGCUCCUUCUCCCUGUGUGCUCCUCCUGGCUCCUUCCCUGGCUCCUUCUCCUUGUUCCUUCCCCAGCUCCUUCCCUGUCCUCCUCCUUGUUCCUUCUCCCUGCUCCUUCCCCGUGUGCUCCUUCUCCCUGCUCGGCUCCUUCCCCGUGCUUUUUCCCCAAAUCCUUCCGUCUGUGCCCCUUCCCCGUGCUCCUCCUCCCCGUUUCUUCCCCGUUCUCCCUCCCCCAGCAGCACCUCCCCGGGUCCUGCCGCGGGAGGGCCCGGCCACAGCGCCCGGGGCUGGAGGUCGGCAGCGGGGCUGCUGCUGGGGGGCACGGCGGGGAGCGGGACCCCAAAAUAGGAACAGGGAAUGGGACCCCAAUAGGAACGGGACCCCAAUGGGGAACGGGACCCCGACGGGGAACGGGACCCCAAGAGGCAGGGAACCACGUCCUGACUCAGAUAAUGAGGCCCCGACACGUAACGAGGCUCCUGGCCGAAGGAAUGAGGUUCCCGACGGGUUCCGAGGCUCCUGACUCAGCCCCGCGUGGCACCGAGACAGACAGAUGGACGGACAGAUCAGGGGCUUUCUGGGGUCGCAGGGAGCCCCCACACCAGGGAAAAAUUCCCCAAAGCCAUGUCCCUGGGGGAGAGUGCAAUUGGGGGGGGGGGGAACAGGGGCUGCUCGAGGAUAAAGCGCCCGGGGAGCAGGGGGAUGCGGCCCCGCGGGGGUGAGCGGCCAAGGGCACGCGGAAAGGAAGAAAGAAAAAGCCCCAAAAAGGAAAACUCCCAAAAGAUAAAACCCCAAAAAAGAAGAAAAGCCCCCCAAAAAGAAGAAAAGCCCCAAGAAAGAAGCAAAGCCCCAAACCCCAAAAGAAAGAAGCAAAGCCCCAAAAGAAGCAAAACCCCAAAGAAAAACCCCAAAACCCUAAAAGACGCUAAACCCCAGAAGAAGCUAAACCCCAAAAACCCCAAAAGAUGCUAAACCCCAAAGGCACAAGGGGGCCGUCCUCAAACCCACCCCAGGGUUUGGGGUCUCCCGAGGCUGCUGCCCCCAGUGGACGACCCCACAGGGGAGCUGCUGCUCAGGGUCCUCCCCAAAACACCCCCCAGGCUCAAAUCACGACCCAAACCCCAAAAGGAGCUGCCCAGCAGCGUCCCCCCCAAAAAAAACACCUCAAUUGGCUCAGCAGCUGCCACAAGACCCCCCCACGGGACCCCAAAAGCAGGGGCUGGGGGCGCAGGAGCACGAGGGGGAAGGUGGUGGCCCCAUAGGGCCGGGUCCUUGCUCUUUUAGGUUCAUUUUG